rnacentral:lncRNA from 1 species
UAUAAUUCUAUUAGAAUGAGGAGACGCAGAUGCUGCAUUCUAGAUGAUGAUGUUUGUUGUCAUGUCAUUCCUACACACUGCAUAAGCACAUCCUGGCACUUCCCUCAUUGUCUGAAACCAGUCUUUUAUUCCCUUUGGCUGAUUCAUGGAAUGAUCAGCUGGUAAGGCAGUAAGAGCAGGAACACAGGUCUGAGGAAAGUGGCAAUCUGAAAGGCAAAACAGAAGUAUGAAACUACAGCAACAGUCAAGAAAUAAGACUUGCAAUCUGAUGAUACCUGUGUAAGCAGUCAUAGAAUCAUGGAAUCAGAGAAUCAUUAAGGUUGGAAAAGACCUCUAAUGUCAUCUAGUCCAACAUCAAACCAUCACCAACGUGCUCACUAACCAUGUCCCUUAAUGCUGCCUGAAAAUUUACACAUUUCUUGAACACCUUCAAGGACAGUGAUUCCUUCAAGGACAAUGGUUCCAUAACUUCCCCAGGCAGCCUGUUCCAAUGCUUGACCGCUUUUUCACAGAGGAAAUUUCUUCUGAUAUCCAGUCUGAACUUUUCCUGGCACAACUUGAAGCUAUUAUCUCUCCUCAUAUCACCAGUUAACUGGGAGACCCUAUGCCAAAUGGAAUUAGAAAUUUCUAAUCUUUUUUUUUUAAUGAUGUUUUGAUUUUUUUUUUUAAUAGACAAAAGCAGUUUGCCAUGUAUGAUGGUUAGUGUGCCUGUAAAUUAGAUGUUUAAUUCAAGUAGUUAAUUUAAGGGUGUAAAUUCUACGUUUCAAACAUUUCAUUUGGCUUUACAUUUGAUCUGCCUUUUGUCUUACACUGUGCUGUCUGAUCACGAGUUACAGUUUGCUUUUCUUGUCCUAACUUCCAAGUUCAAGCUAUAAAACCCAGUCUUAAAAAAACAUAGGGAAGUCUGCAAGUCUUUCUAUUGACUAUAGUUGGUAGAGUAAGACCAAUAUGAGCUGUACUGUGGACUUAACUACGUUGUUAGUAGAUAUGCUUCUGAGUGGUCUCACUCAUAGUAGGAUAGUAGC